rnacentral:rRNA from 1 species
AUGCUCUUAUCCGGUGGCUAUUUGGGACUGGCCUUGGCACCAGCUACAGCGUUCAGUGGCCCGCUGGCUCCAUCACGCCAUCGUACAUGCUGGCCAAAGGGUGGCAUUUCUACUUCUUCCUCCCGACCAAGAUGCCUAAAGGGAGGCAGCUCAUCUUCUUCACAGAGUCUAUGGCCGGUGCCAUGGAAGCUUAGUUGUUCCAAGUGGCAAUGUCCCAGGCGACAGCGAGGAUACGGCCAUGCAGAAGAUGUCAAGGACCCGAUUGCUUUUCUUAUCUCGUUUUUGGGGUCCUCUUUGUAA